GUGUCAGUGAAUAAUUUGCCUGUGAAGGUAUAGGUGGGGCUCUCCUCUGACACUGCUGGGUAUCCUUCAUCAAAAACCAGUAGGUGCUGGUGUCGUCUCAUAAAGCAAGACCAGCUGCCAACAAAAUUUGGGAGAUGUCACUCUGAUUAUGGAAGAGUCCUCCGAAGGGCUGCAGAUGGAUAUUCCUCCUAACCAGCACGGUGGAAUGUUCUGUUAAUGCAGUGAUCCGCUCUCGGGGGAAGGUCGAGGGCAGCUUCCUCACUUGGCGUUGGUGGGCGAUGUCUUGCCACACAGGAGAGACGCCAGGGCACGGACGGUGGAUAGGGCGUGGAGGAAGUGGCGAUCACUUGGCAGCCACUGGAGUAGGUGACCAGAGUUGACAGCCGAAUAGUGAAGGUCUGGGGAAUCAGCCCACAAGCCCCAGGAACCUCAGAUGAGUACACAACCAGAGUUGGAAUCGAACAGUGGGGGAAGUAGCAGCUGUGGUCAAGGCUGGUGUGUGACGUGGCAGCAGCGACCUUCUCACCACCUCUCUUUAAGCAUCCCACAGAGUGACGUCACACUGCUUCCUCACCAAUAGAUAUUAGCUACAUAUACAAUUUUUGUAAAGAAUGUGUUGAUAAAUUUUUUUUAGUACAUACAGUGGUCCCUCGGUGAACGAGCACAAUUCGUUCCAGAAGGUUGCUUGUUAACCGAAAAAAUCGUUAGGCGAAACCAUUGUUUUAAUGGGUUUUGGGGUAAUUAACCGAAACCAUUGUUUCAAUGGGUUUUUGGGUAAUUGG